CGGGAAACUGGGGAUAAUAUUCGAUAGCUAAAAGAUACUGGAAUGUUCUUUUAUCCAAAGCUUUUGCGCCUGAGGAUGGGCCUGCGCCCGAUUAGGUUGUUGGUGGGGUAAUGGCCCACCAAGCCUACGAUCGGUACGGGCAGUGGGAGCUGAAGCCCGGAGUUGGGGACUGAGACAAGGCCCCAGGCCCUACGGGGCGCAGCAGGCGCGAAACCUCUGCAAUGCGGGAAACCGUGACAGGGGGAUUCCAAGUGCUAAUGCAUGGAAUGGGCUGUUCUUUGGUCUAAGUAACCAGAGGAGUAAGGGCUGGGCAAGACCGGUGACAGCCGCCGCGGUAACA
rnacentral:rRNA from 1 species